rnacentral:tRNA from 1 species
CGGGGCAUGGUGAAAUGGUAUCACGCGUGCUUUGGGAGCAUGAAUCCCCAGUUCGAUCCUGGGUGCCCCGA